UGCGUGUCAUUAGCUAGUUGGUAAGGUAACGGCUUACCAAGGCGACGAUGACUAGGGGGUCUGAGAGGAUGGUCCCCCACACUGGUACUGAGACACGGACCAGACUCCUACGGGAGGCAGCAGUGAGGAAUAUUGGGCAAUGGGCGCAAGCCUGACCCAGCCAUGCCGCGUGCAGGAUGACUGCCCUAUGGGUUGUAAACUGCUUUUAUACGGGAAGAAUGGUUCCUACGUGUAGGGAUUUGACGGUACCGUAAGAAUAAGCAUCGGCUAACUCCGUGCCAGCAGCCGCGGUAAUACGGAGGAUGCAAGCGUUAUCCGGAUUCAUUGGGUUUAAAGGGUGCGCAGGCGGAAUAUUAAGUCAGUGGUGAAAUCCUGCAGCUUAACUGUAGAACUGCCAUUGAUACUGAUAUUCUUGAAUAUAGUUGAGGUGGGCGGAAUGUGUAAUGUAGCGGUGAAAUGCUUAGAUAUUACACAGAACACCGAUUGCGAAGGCAGCUCACUAAACUAAUAUUGACGCUGAGGCACGAAAGCGUGGGGAGCGAACAGGAUUAGAUACCCUGGUAGUCCACGCUGUAAACGAUGAUCACUCGCUGUUGGCAAUACAUCGUCAGCGGCUGAGCGAAAGCAUUAAGUGAUCCACCUGGGGAAUACGAUCGCAAGAUUGAAACUCAAAGGAAUUGACGGGGGCCCGCACAAGCGGAGGAACAUGUGGUUUAAUUCGAUGAUACGCGAGGAACCUUACCUGGGCUUAAAUGCAGAACGACGUUUCGGGAAACCGGAAUUUCUUCGGACGGACUGCAAGGUGCUGCAUGGCUGUCGUCAGCUCGUGCCGUGAGGUGUCGGGUUAAGUCCCAUAACGAGCGCAACCCUUAUCGUUAGUUGCCAGCGGGUAAUGCCGGGGACUCUAACGAAACUGCCGGUGUAAACCGUGAGGAAGGUGGGGAUGACGUCAAGUCAGCACGGCCCUUAUGUCCAGGGCUACACACGUGUUACAAUGGUCGGUACAAAGGGCAGCUACCUGGCAACAGGAUGCUAAUCUCGAAAACCGAUCUCAGUUCGGAUUGAAGUCUGCAAUUCGACUUCAUGAAGCUGGAUUCGCUAGUAAUCGCGCAUCAGCCACGGCGCGGUGAAUACGUUCCCGGGCCUUGUACACACCGCCCGUCAAGCCAUAGAAGCUUGGGGUA
rnacentral:rRNA from 1 species